UAUUGGUCAAUGGUCGGGAGACUGAACCAGCCAAGCCGCGUGAGGGAUGAAGGUACAGAGUAUCGUAAACCUCUUUUGUCAGGGAACAAAGGCGGGGACGCGUCCCCGGAUGAGUGUACCUGAAGAAAAAGCAUCGGCUAACUCCGUGCCAGCAGCCGCGGUAAUACGGAGGAUGCGAGCGUUAUCCGGAUUUAUUGGGUUUAAAGCGUGCGCGUGCGGUCUGUAAGGUCAGAGGUCAAAGCCCGGGGCUCAACCCCGUCCCGCCGUUGAAACUGGCAGUCUCGAGUUGGAGAGAAGUAUGCGGAAUGCGCGGUGUAGCGGUGAAAUGCAUAGAUAUCGCGCAGAACUCCGAUUGCGAAGGCAGCAUGCCGGCUCCACACUGACGCUGAGGCACGAAAGCGUGGGUAUCGA
rnacentral:rRNA from 1 species